UGGGGAAUAUUGCACAAUGGGCGCAAGCCUGAUGCAGCAACGCCGCGUGAGGGACGACGGCCUUCGGGUUGUAAACCUCUUUUAGUAGGGAAGAAGCGAAAGUGACGGUACCUGCAGAAAAAGCACCGGCUAACUACGUGCCAGCAGCCGCGGUAAUACGUAGGGUGCGAGCGUUGUCCGGAAUUAUUGGGCGUAAAGAGCUCGUAGGCGGUCUGUCGCGUCUGCUGUGAAAACCCGAGGCUCAACCUCGGGCCUGCAGUGGGUACGGGCAGACUAGAGUGCGGUAGGGGAGAAUGGAAUUCCUGGUGUAGCGGUGGAAUGCGCAGAUAUCAGGAGGAACACCGAUGGCGAAGGCAGUUCUCUGGGCCGCAACUGACGCUGAGGAGCGAAAGCAUGGGGAGCGAACAGGAUUAGAUAGCCCUGGUAGUCCAUGCCGUAAACGUUGGGCACUAGGUGUGGGGUCCAUUCCACGGAUUCCGUGCCGCAGCAAAGCGCAUUAAGUGCCCCC
rnacentral:rRNA from 1 species